AUGGUACAAUGUACGCUACCGGAGAUAAAAUCAUCAUCAGUAACUGCCUUGGUGCCAUGACAUGCAUGGGCAACAAUGUAUAUACUAACCUGGAACAAUAUGGAGGCGUAUGCCCUUCAACGAAACGAUCAACUGAAAAAACUGUAUGUGUGUUUAAUGGUAAAAUUUACAAUAAGAACGAAUUUGUCACAAUCGGC